rnacentral:rRNA from 1 species
UGGGGAAUUUUGGACAAUGGGCGAAAGCCUGAUCCAGCCAUGCCGCGUGCAGGAUGAAGGCCUUCGGGUUGUAAACUGCUUUUGUACGGAACGAAACGGCCUUUUCUAAUAAAGAGGGCUAAUGACGGUACCGUAAGAAUAAGCACCGGCUAACUACGUGC